AUUGAACGCUGGCGGCAUGCCUUACACAUGCAAGUCGAACGGCAGCACGGGAGCAAUCCUGGUGGCGAGUGGCGAACGGGGGAGUAAAGUAUCGGAACGUGCCCAGUCGUGGGGGAUAACGUAGCGAAAGUUACGCUAAUACCGCAUACGAUCUAUGGAUGAAAGCGGGGGAUCGCAAGACCUCGCGCGAUUGGAGCGGCCGAUAUCAGAUUAGGUAGUUGGUGGGGUAAAGGCCCACCAAGCCGACGAUCUGUAGCUGGUCUGAGAGGACGACGAGCCAAACUGGGACUGAGACACGGCCCAGACUCCUAAGGGAGGCAGAAGUGGGGAAUGUUGGACAAUGGGCGAAAGCCUGAUCCAGCCAUGCCGCGUGCAGGAUGAAGGCCUCCGGGUUGUAAACUGCUUUUGUACGGAACGAAAAGGACUGCCCUAAUACGGUGGUCCCAUGACGGUACCGUAAGAAUAAGCACCGGCUAACUCCGUGCCAGCCGCCGCUGUAAAAC
rnacentral:rRNA from 1 species